GUAUCCCAAUCCCCCGCCCAGGUGAGUUUCCUUACAAGACAUUGAGGGAAUUUCAUGGCCAGCUUGUGUGUGUGCCGCUUUGCUGCCAAUCUCAGAAAAGCUAACCCUUCACUCGAAGCUAGAAAACAUAAGGGCUCCAGGUUAUCUGCUCCCCUCCCUCGCCAUGCCCAGCCAGCGAUGACUGCUCCAGGUGUCUGCUCCUGUCCUGCAAGGUCUCUAGGCUUUCCCAGGGUUCAGCCACCUCCUGAGGUCAUGGGGCUGGGCAGGGGCAGCACAGGGCCUCUGACCAAGGUCAACCGUCUCUGGGAUCUGUGCUCUUAUCCACUGUGCUAUAUUGGCUCUGCAGAGGUGAGGCCUGGCAGGGAGAGGGAGAAGCACAGGCUGGAGCCUUUCCUCCUGCCAAGCUUCUUCGCUUGUCAGGACACGCAGGCAGUUUUAAACGUGAAAUUUCCAAAGUGGCGUGGGUGGGCAGUCUGGUGGCCUGGGAUACUUGGAGGUGUCCACACUGCCCUAAUGGAAAUGCCUUGGUAUUACAAAGACCUGUGCAGGUAACCGGGUUUCAUAAAAUAUAUGUUGCCCUCAGCUAAAAAGGCUUUGAAAAAUAGACUAGCUGUUGUGUAUCUAUGCCAGGUUAAUAGGGAUAUGGCCUGGCUCAGUGAAUUUUGCUGGUUCUUGGUUCCCUGCUCCCUGCAGGCUGAGUUUUCGCCCUGCAGCACCAUCUGAGAAUCAGGAAGCAGAGAUGCUGGCAUGAAGCUGGCUGUGAGAGCAGGAGUUGGGGUCACGGUGCAGAAGGAAAGCUGAUGCCCAGCAGGACCCUGCAUUCCAGGCACCUGUAGUCAGGUAGGGGAAGAAGAGGCCGGUACACAAACAGGUGAAAUGAAAGGAGGUCAUGACAGAGGUGGAGGACAGAGUCCCCUGCCUCCCCACUCAUGGAGGCACAUGGGAAUGAGGAACCCUGGGCUUCAGAUGCUAGUUUCUCAGCAAGGACACAGCAGACACAGGGCUUGGAUUGUCAGUGUGAUGUUCCCUCCUUGUCCAUGGUAAUGAUGGCAUGUCUGGCAUACGAAGGUGUUUGAGUUGUGGUGAGAAAUGGAUAUCCCAGGGCAGCUGUGGGAGGGACAUCACUCCAUGCCGCCCAGACAUGGGAAGGGCACCCCUGGAGGAAUGAACACAGUCUCUGCGCUCAAACAUACCCCUCCAAUGCAGGCUGCCAAGAGAAGUUGUCCCAGGGCUGCCAAGCAGUUCUGCGGGGUUCAAGUCAGCCAGCUCAAGCUCCUGUCCUCAAAACCAUUCCACCUGCAAAUCUUGUCAGUACAAGGAAGGCUGCCAUUUGUGGUCAAUCAUGCGAGCCCUUGUUGCUUUGGUCCUCUCUACCAAUGAUGGUCACUUAAGUCGGGGAGGGCUAGGACUACACGAUUCAUAGAACAAACAACUUCCUCCCUUGGCCAAAAUGGGGACACAUGAACUAACAACUCAGUGUUUUCCAGCAAUCAACUGGAAAGAAUAUCGGUAAUCUAGCACUGUUUGGUCACCAAACUACAUACCUAGGCUCCUUCCAACUCUAAGCAAAACAUAGGAUUAACGAAGUGAAGUAUACGACUUUUGUCAGUAAUUGUAAAGGCGUUAAAGUUGCUCCAUUCCAGGCAAAACAACAUCUUAAUGAUCUUUGUUGUCACUUAGGGACGCCCCACCUUUUAACACUGUGUUAACCUGUGAGGUUUCACUUUGGAAACAACAACAAAGGCUUACAAGGCAAAUGACUGUCGAAAUACUUCGUAGUGGUUUGGUGGAUUGUUGCAAUCACAACACUCACUGAAUGCUGUGUCCCUGUUAACACACCCUUUUGUGAUGGGACUUUCUCUCCUCUUCCCUUCAGGGGUUGAAUUUAUUUCCCCAGGCAGUGAUCUUGGGCUGGGUUGUAACUUGUUUCUAUCAAUAGGAUGUUUCAGGUGUGACUUUGCUCACCUUCCUAGGCUAAGCCUUAAGAUGCUUUGCAGUUUCUGCCUUUGCUCUUUUGGAACCUUGAGCUCACCAUGCUCUGAAGGACUCAGGAAUGAAUGACCAAGUGGAGGGAGAGGCCCAACCAGCCUACGGAUUCCUGCCAUUCCAGCUGGAACCUGAUCCAUAUGAGAGAGCACCUUAGACCACCCCAGCUCAGCUGACUGCAGUCACAUGAGUGAGCCCAGACUGUAGUUUGGCAAGAAAUCCCUUGAUAGAUGUUGGACUCUGCUAAAGGUGAACCUGCUCCAAGUGUGUCUCAUCAUGCUCCUGAGACCAAGAGUGCAGGAUGGGAGUACAGGAGGAGAGUCUACACAGCAUGCAGAAGUUGCCACCGACAGCAAGAUUGAGCAGUAGUGACUGAUGGGUCACUCCUGCUAUCUCUUAAUAAUCAAGCAAUGCUAAUUGUCUUCAGGCUAAAACCUCACAGUUUUAGUUUUGUAAAUACAGAAAUCAAUUAGAUCAAAAUUAAUGAGAUUUUGCUGUAUUUACAAUCAAUACCAGUUGUAACAGCUGAAUCAAUCAAAGUAUUGUCAGCCUUCAAGAUGAACACAAUACACAACGUGUCGUGUCUUCCAAUUAGAAUCUGUGAUGUGAAAGCCAUCAAUAAGAACAGAAGAUCCAGUCCUCGAGUGUGACAGGGCCAUUAGCUUGCAAGAGAGCGCAUCUGUGAACUGCUGACUGGUUCAAGAUGAGGAGGAGUGAGCAAAAGAUGCGGAGAGGGUAACAGUUCCUGAUAGUAGCUCCGUACACUCUAUAUAACAUGAAUGGCUGUUGGAUUUGCUUCAUUCAAAAAAGAUAAAGGAAGUUAAAAGAGUCUCUGAAAGAGAGCAGCUGCCCAGAGCUUCAGAAGCAUUGUUCAUGGGGAACGUUGCUUACAUUUUCUCUAGGGACAAGGAGGCUGUGUGGGGUGACAAUAAGUGAGAAUUGUCAGGAUUUGAUUGCAUUGGAAGGAGCAGUUUCAGCCACCAUCAAAUAAGGCCUACAUGGUCCCAAUAUAGGGAGAUUCCUGGAAGAAACUACGUGGACUGCUAGAAAGAGCAUGGCUAUAAUGACAGACCUGACUUUAUGGCUUAGCCACUUACAUGCCAUAUGUCUGUGGGAAACUUAUGAAACUCUUUGAGCCUCUGUUUCCUCAUCUGUAAAAUGGUGAUGAUUAUAUCUACGUCAUGGGGUUAUAAAGAUUAGAGCUUUGCAGAUGGUUGAUACAACCCAUUAUUGGACCAGAAGGAAUUAUUUGGGCCUCCUGCUUCUCAGAUCCCAGUUCCUAGAAAAAUGUUUUGGAGAAUUUGCUGUCACUCCUUUAAGGAUGCCUUUCACUGAGAAGAUUCUAUUUUUGACUUCCUUCAUAUCAGAGGUCAACAUGUUAUGCUCUGCAACUUUCAUAGAGAAAGAUGAAAGGCAAAAUGAGAGUUUAAUUCUGCAGUCUCAAGCAUGGGACCCUGGGCACCCUGGAGUGUGCUGUUCCCCCUUAGACCAGCAGGCAGAUGGUUACAGCAGUGCUGCAAUGCAGCUGUGGGCUUGAUGCUAAUUGGAGUCUUUCCAGAGGUGUGGCAACUCAUGGAGUUAGUGCUACUCAGAAAGAAAGGAGGAAGAAAGAGAGUGGGGAAGGGCAAAAAUCCGCGUGCCAAACUCAGACCCCUUUGACAGUUUUGUUCAGAAACCCUACCCAGUGACCUUUACUUACAUCUCAUUGGCCAGAACUGUCACAUGAAAACCUCUACUCGCAAAGGAGAAUGGGAAGGGAUUUUAGAAGACAGAAAAGUAAUUGUGGAGAAGACACUCUAGGCUUAAGAACUGCUGGAGCAAUGGUAAAGUGGCAUGACAGUGCAGGGCAAGCCCAGGAACUGUCGAGUCGGCCAGCACGUCUGGAGUGGAGGAUAAGUGAAGGCCGUGGGACGUGAUGCUAGGAAAAUUGCUGCUAGAACAUGAAAGACUGAGGAUGUUGUGAUCACAUCUGAGUGCUCCUUGGAACCCCCUUCAGUGGCUGCUAAUUAACCGCGGAAGCACACCAGUAAUUUCUCAGGUUACAUACACAAAUGGAGAAUGACCUGGGAACUGCAGGAGAGGCCAGCACACACUAAGGUCCACAGAACAGCUUCCCAGAACUCCUCUGGGUCAAAAGCCAAUCAGAGCCAAAGAUUUUGAAGACUAGGGAGAGAUUUUGACACUAUCAACUGGAAAAACUCAUUGACAUAGGAGGACUCUUCACACAAAAAAGUUCUGGCUAUCGUCUCUAGAGUGAGAUUUUCCAUGUCCGAGCUAUGAGAUUGGAAGGAUCCUGCACUAUAAUUCAGAAAUGCUGCAAGUUUCAAAGAUGCCACUCUCAUUAAUAGCUUCCAGAAGAAAACUGAGUAAGGCAACAGGAGAAUUCAAGAUGGGGUCAAAUUGAAACUCAAAGCAUCAUCUGAAGAAGUAAAAUAUGCACCAGAGCAACCCCAUCUCCUGAUUGAGGCCCUCUGAAAAUGGCCCUGUUCAUUGCUCCAUCCCAUAGGAAGCAAGUCACUUAGUUACAGCCCACACUCAGGGGAGUGGAUUACAUGAGUGUGAACAUCAAGAGGCUGGGAUCAUUGGGAGCCAUAUCAGAAGUUGCCUUCCACAGACUAUUGCUACCAGUGAAGGCCAUGUGAGGACAUAAGCAGGAAGAGGGUCUUUAUGAAGAACCCAACCAUGCUGGCAUCCUAAUCUUGGACUUCUAGCCUCC